rnacentral:rRNA from 1 species
UACGGAGGGGGCUAGCGUUGUUCGGAAUUACUGGGCGUAAAGCGCACGUAGGCGGCUUUGUAAGUUAGAGGUGAAAGCCCAGGGCUCAACCCUGGAAUUGCCUUUAAGACUGCAUCGCUUGAACAUCGGAGAGGUAAGUGGAAUUCCGAGUGUAGAGGUGAAAUUCGUAGAUAUUCGGAAGAACACCAGUGGCGAAGGCGGCGUUCUGGACUGCAACUGACACUGAGGAACGAAAGCCAGGGGAGCAAACGGG